AGGCUUGAGAGACUCAGGCGAGGAACAGAGAGCUACAGCUGCCUUGGGGGUCUUUUCAGCUACUGACUGACCUAGCUGUUGCCUGGGAACCGGCUUUUCUCCUUUUCUCCUAGGGUCCAGCACAUGGUAUGUGCACAGACAUGUUGUUUGAAUGAAUGAAGAUUUUCCCACCUGGGUCUGCUGCCUCCUUCAUGUUUUACCACCUGGUGUCACUUCAGAUUCUGAAACUAUCUGUGGCUCAUCUACUUAGGGAGGACACUGAUGUGGACAUUGCAGAAUAUCAGCUCCAGUUUGAUAAGGUGGUGCACAAUGAUGAGAGAGAGGACUUUGAGGGUUUUCUUCCUAGGUGCUCAAGU
rnacentral:lncRNA from 10 species